UUAAGUUCUCAUUAUAUUAAGAGUCCAAUGCACUUGUUCAGUCAACGCUAAAGACUGUUUAUAUCACCACAAUUCCGCGGUGGCCCAGUUGGGCGGGCGCCCACCUAUAACGCGUGUUGCCAGAUCAUCAUCCAAGCACCCAGUGGUUUGGUCAAGUUUUUCCAUAUGUUGAUAUUAAGUUAACCAAAAUGAGGGAUGUAAUAAAAUAAGAAGCGGACGUAAAGAAGGUCAGCAUCCAAUUGGAUUUUCUCGUUCAACAAGUCCACAUGCUACGAGUUACAUUCAUCACAACAGUUCAUUACAUAUUAGGUAUUGGUACAGAAGGAUACAAAGAAAAAAAACAAUGUUCUGUCUAAAUAUGAAUCAUUUUCUCAUCUUUUUAUUUCUCUUUAAAUUUUUUUAAACAUGUUUUCAAAGAAAUGAAAUUGCUAACAUUUUUUGUGGAAUGUUUUGGAUAAGCAACUUUUUCCUAAUUUUACAUUGUGUUAUUUGAAGGUUGUAACA